rnacentral:rRNA from 1 species
UACGAAGGGGGCUAGCGUUGUUCGGAAUUACUGGGCGUAAAGGGCUCGUAGGCGGCCAACUAAGUCCGACGUGAAAUCCCCAGGCUUAACCUGGGAACUGCGCCGGAUACUGGAUGGCUUGAAUUCGGGAGAGGGAUGCAGAAUUCCAGGUGUAGCGGUGAAAUGCGUAGAUAUCUGGAGGAAUACCGGUGGCGAAGGCGGCAUCCUGGACCGACAUUGACGCUGAUGAGCGAAAGCUAGGGGAGCAAACGGG